rnacentral:tRNA from 1 species
CGGGGCGUAGCGCAGUCUGGCAGCGCGGUUGCUUUGGGAGCAACAAGUCGGGGGUUCAAAUCCCUCCGCCCCGA